UGUAAUAGCUCCUGUAAGUUGCUCUGGAUAAGAGUGUCUGCUAAAUGACUAAAA
rfam:Salmo salar isolate Sally breed double haploid chromosome ssa13, whole genome shotgun sequence.